UACGGAGGGGGCGAGCGUUAUUCGGAAUUAUUGGGCGUAAAGGGCGCGUAGGCGGCUUGAUAAGUCAAAGGUGAAAUCCCUCGGCUCAACUGAGGAACUGCCUUUGAAACUGUCUGGCUUGAGGCCGGGAGGGGGUAGCGGAAUUCCCAGUGUAGCGGUGAAAUGCGUAGAUACUGGGAGGAACACCGGUGGCGAAGGCGGCGACCUGGACCGGUUCUGACGCUGAUGCGCGAAAGCGUGGGUAGCAAACAGG
rnacentral:rRNA from 1 species